CGCAUCUGUGCAUGCAGCAUAUCAAUAAGCGGAGGAAAAGAAACUAACAAGGAUUCCCCUAGUAACGGCGAGUGAAGCGGGAAGAGCUCAAAUUUGAAAUCUUAAAGGGUUUCCCUUUACGAAUUGUAGUUUAAAGAAGUGUUUUCUGUUGAGGUUUUGGUAAAAGUUCUUUGGAAUAGGACAUCAUAGAGGGUGAGAAUCCCGUAUUUGACCUUUACUUUCAACUUUGUGAUACACUUUCAAAGAGUCGGAUUGUUUGGGAAUGCAGUCCAAAAUGGGUGGUAAAUUUCAUCUAAAGCUAGAUAUUGGCGAGAGACCGAUAGCGAACAAGUACCGUGAGGGAAAGAUGAAAAGAACUUUGAAAAGAGAGUUAAACAGUACGUGAAAUUGUCAAAAGGGAAGCGUUUGACACCAGUGUUGUUUUUCUGAAAAUCAAUUAAAGAACUGUUUAUGCUAAGCUGUUUAGACUUUAUCAGCUAUCUGCUUAGUUUUGAGCUUUUCUUUAAUGCACUUUUCAGUUAACAAGUCAACAUCAAUUUCUUUUGCUGUAAAAAAGCUUGAGGAAGGUGGCUUGAGAUUCGUCUUAAGUGUUUAUAGCCUCUUGCCUAUGCAGUCGGAGAGAUUGAGGUCUGCAGCGUAGAUCCUUCGGGGCUAAAUGCAUUUGUGCUAAGUUAUAACAUUUUAUAGACAACUUGUUGACUAUGAUUUGUCUUGUAGCUUACUCGCUUAUGUUAUUUUACCUACGCUUAGGAUGUUGAGUCAUCACACAUCUCU
rnacentral:rRNA from 1 species